GAUGAACGCUGGCGGCGUGCCUAAUACAUGCAAGUAGAACGCUGAAGGAGGAGCUUGCUCUUCUGGAUGAGUUGCGAACGGGUGAGUAACGCGUAGGUAACCUGCCUGGUAGCGGGGGAUAACUAUUGGAAACGAUAGCUAAUACCGCAUGACAACAGUUAUUGCAUGAUAACUGUUUAAAAGGGGCAACUGCUCCACUACCAGAUGGACCUGCGUUGUAUUAGCUAGUUGGUGAGGUAACGGCUCACCAAGGCGACGAUACAUAGCCGACCUGAGAGGGUGGUCGGCCAAACUGGGACUGAGACACGGCCCAGAAUCCUACGGGAGGCAGCAGUAGGGAAUCUUCGGCAAUGGACGGAAGUCUGACCGAGCAACGCCGCGUGAGUGAAGAAGGUUUUCGGAUCGUAAAGCUCUGUUGUAAGAGAAGAACGAGUGUGAGAGUGGAAAGUUCACACUGUGACGGUAUCUUACCAGAAAGGGACGGCUAACUACGUG
rnacentral:rRNA from 1 species